AUCGAAGAUCUCAGCUUCUUCAUAAGCUCCCACACGAAUUGCUUGAUUCACUGGUUAGACGAUUGGGUCUGUAGCUCAGUUGGUUAGAGCGCACCCCUGAUAAGGGUGAGGUCGGCAGUUCGAAUCUGCCCAGACCCACCAAUUGUUGGUGUGCUGCGUGAUCCGAUACGGGGCCAUAGCUCAGCUGGGAGAGCGCCUGCUUUGCACGCAGGAGGUCAGGAGUUCGAUCCUCCUUGGCUCCACCAUCUAAAACAAUCGUCGAAAGCUCAGAAAUGAAUGUUCGUGAAUGAACAUUGAUUUCUGGUCUUUGCACCAGAACUGUUCUUUAAAAAUUCGGGUAUGUGAUAGAAGUAAGACUGAAUGAUCUCUUUCACUGGUGAUCAUUCAAGUCAAGGUAAAAUUUGCGAGUUCAAGCGCGAAUUUUCGGCGAAUGUCGUCUUCACAGUAUAACCAGAUUGCUUGGGGUUU
rnacentral:tRNA from 1 species